UGAACGCUGGCGGCGUGCCUACUACAUGCACGUCGAGCGAACAGAUGCGGAGCUUGCUCCUCUGACGUUAGCGGCGGACGGGUGAGUAACACGUGGAUAACCUACCUAUAAGACUGGGAUAACUUCGGGAAACCGGAGCUAAUACCGGAUAAUAUAUUGAACCGCAUGGUUCAAUAGUGAAAGACGGUUUUGCUGUCACUUAUAGAUUGAUCCGCGCCGCAUUAGCUAGUUGGUAAGGUAACGGCUUACCAAGGCAACGAUGCGUAGCCGACCUGAGAGGGUGAUCGGCCACACUGGAACUGAGACACGGUCCAGACUCCUACGGGAGGCAGCAGUAGGGAAUCUUCCGCAAUGGGCGAAAGCCUGACGGAGCAACGCCGCGUGAGUGAUGAAGGUCUUCGGAUCGUAAAACUCUGUUAUUAGGGAAGAACAAAUGUGUAAGUAACUAUGCACGUCUUGACGGUACCUAAUCAGAAAGCCACGGCUAACUACGUG
rnacentral:rRNA from 1 species